rnacentral:tRNA from 1 species
ACCUAGUGGUAGCCUAGUGGACAUGGCAUCUGCCUGGUAAGCGGAACACUGUGGGUUCGAUUACCAUCCCUGGACA